AGAGUUUGAUCCUGGCUCAGAAUGAACGUUGGCGGCGUGGAUUAGGCAUACAAGUCGAGCGAGUCUCUGGGGGGUAACUCCUAGAGGAAAGUGGCGAAAGGGGCAGUAAUGUAUGGGUAACCUACCUUGAGGUCUGGGAUAGCCAUUCUAACGGAUGGGUAAUACUGGACGGCCUGAGUUGUCGGCAUCGAUGAUUUAGUAAAGGUUACGCCUCGAGAGGGGCCCAUAUGAUAUUAGCUAGUUGGUGAGGUAAUGGCUCACCAAGGCAAAGAUGUCUAGCGGGUGUGAGAGCACGACCCGCGUCACUGGCACUGAGACACUGGCCAGACUCCUACGGGAGGCUGCAGUCGAGGAUCUUCGGCAAUGGACGAAAGUCUGACCGAGCAACGCCGCGUGUGCGAUGAAGGCCUUCGGGUUGUAAAGCACUGUCGAGGGGAAACAAGCCGUAAGGUUGAGUGACCCCUGGAGGAAGCACGGGCUAAGUUCGUGCCAGCAGCCGCGGUAAGACGAACCGUGCAAACGUUAUUCGGAAUCACUGGGCUUAAAGGGCGCGUAGGCGGGUAAUCAAGUCAAUGGUGAAAUCCUCCAGCUUAACUGGAGAAGUGCCUUUGAUACUGGUUGUCUAGAGGGAGGUAGGGGCAUGUGGAACUUCAGGUGGAGCGGUGAAAUGCGUAGAUAUCUGAAGGAGCGCCAGUGGCGAAAGCGAUGUGCUGGACCUCUUCUGACGCUGAGGCGCGAAAGCUAGGGGAUCAAACGGGAUUAGAUACCCUGGUAGUCCAA
rnacentral:rRNA from 1 species